rnacentral:rRNA from 1 species
UAGGGAAUCUUCCGCAAUGGACGCAAGUCUGACGGAGCAACGCCGCGUGAGUGAAGAAGGAUUUCGGUUCGUAAAACUCUGUUGUUAGAGAAGAACAGCGCAUAGAGUAACUGUUAUGCGUGUGACGGUAUCUAACCAGAAAGCCACGGCUAACUACGUGCCAGCAGCCGCGGUAAUACGUAGGUGGCAAGCGUUGUCCGGAUUUAUUGGGCGUAAAGCGAGCGCAGGCGGUCAAUUAAGUCUGAUGUAAAAGCCCCCGGCUCAACCGGGGAGAGUGAAUGGAAACUGGUUGACUUGAGUGCAGAAGAGGAGAGUGGAAUUCCAUGUGUAGCGGUGAAAUGCGUAGAUAUAUGGAGGAACACCAGUGGCGAAGGCGACUCUCUGGUCUGUAACUGACGCUGAGGCUCGAAAGCGUGGGUAGGAAACAGG